GACGAACGCUGGCGGCGUGCUUAACACAUGCAAGUCGAACGGAAAGGCCCUGCUUUUGUGGGGUGCUCGAGUGGCGAAGGGGUGAGUAACACGUGAGUAACCUGCCCUUGACUUUGGGAUAACUUCAGGAAACUGGGGCUAAUACCGGAUAGGAGCUCCUGCUGCAUGGUGGGGGUUGGAAAGUUUCGGCGGUUGGGGAUGGACUCGCGGCUUAUCAGCUUGUUGGUGGGGUAGUGGCUUACCAAGGCUUUGACGGGUAGCCGGCCUGAGAGGGUGACCGGCCACAUUGGGACUGAGAUACGGCCCAGACUCCUACGGGAGGCAGCAGUGGGGAAUAUUGCACAAUGGGCGGAAGCCUGAUGCGGCAACGCCGCGUGCGGGAUGACGGCCUUCGGGUUGUAAACCACUUUCGCCUGUGACGAAGCGUGAGUGACGGUAAUGGGUAAAGAAGCACCGGCUAACUACGUG
rnacentral:rRNA from 1 species